rnacentral:rRNA from 1 species
AGUCGAACGAUGAAGUCUAGCUUGCUAGACGGAUUAGUGGCGGACGGGUGAGUAAUGUAUAGGGAUCUGCCUAGUAGUGGGGGACAACAGCCGGAAACGGCUGCUAAUACCGCAUACGCUCUACGGAGGAAAGUGGGGGACCUUCGGGCCUCACGCUAUUAGAUGAACCUAUAUCAGAUUAGCUAGUUGGUGGGGUAAAGGCCUACCAAGGCGACGAUCUGUAGCUGGUCUGAGAGGAUGAUCAGCCACACUGGGACUGAGACACGGCCCAGACUCCUACGGGAGGCAGCAGUGGGGAAUAUUGGACAAUGGGCGCAAGCCUGAUCCAGCAAUGCCGCGUGUGUGAAGAAGGCCUUAGGGUUGUAAAGCACUUUCAUUGAGGAGGAAAAGUUAUGCGUUAAUAGCGUAUAGCCGUGA